UGAAGGAGCCUGGAUUCUCACCGACU
rnacentral:piRNA from 1 species